rnacentral:sRNA from 1 species
UGAUACCAGGGUCAAAAGGUCAUGCGUUUCAUGCUUGCAUGAAAAAGCAUGACUUUGGGACCCGUAAAACAUGAGAAAGUAGCCCGAGCAGGGCGGAUUUCGAAUGUUUUUAGGAUCGCGGGAGCACAAAGUGCGGAGCAAUCCGUAGGUAUCA